GGAGCCAAUGUUGUCGCUGAUAUGCUCCCCUUCACCUGUCAUAGGGCUGCAGAUAACGUGCAGUGUGGUAUGUAGACUGGGGAGGUUGCAUGUAUAUGGGAUCCCUUAAAUGGGUGGAGGACUGUGUGGGCAUGACCUGAGGCUGUCGUAUGGAUUCUUUAAUUUGAGCCACCUCUACACUGAGAUCCUUCAACAUUGCCAUGUCAGACCGCAUUCCUUUUAACUCACUCAAAAGGCAACAUUGACCUUGUCCAAUAGAAGUUCAUCGCUCACCUCAUUUCUUGUGAGAUAGCUACGCAGCUGCAUGCCUGGUGCUAUCGCUCUGAUUACAGCAUCCACUAUUUCAAGUUCCGAAACCCCUCUGCUCAGUCCAUGCUCAAUUUGAUGAGCCAAACUUGAAAAAGUGAGUUUGUCUUUCUGUCCAUGCUCACCGAUCUGUCCUGAAAUUUUAAAUUCUCUAUUCCAGGGAAACAUAACUGGUUGAGAGGGCACUUGAUUUAGUCUUUCUUGCUCUACGUUUUCUGCUACCUGGUCUAAGGCCCCUCUUUUUGAUGUGGACCGUGGACACCUUCACUUCACUGAUCUCCUAGGCUGAGUAAAAAGAUGAAUGGCACUGAAGGACAACUGUCAUCACUCGAAGCCGACCCACACUGCAUCCAUCCCAGCGGUGCCUCCAAAAUGUAGCGCCCUCACUGCCUGAUGAGGGACAAUAAUGUUAAUAAAAACACAGGAAACACGGA